GAUGAACGCUGGCGGCGUGCCUAAUACAUGCAAGUCGAGCGAACGGACGAGAAGCUUGCUUUUCUGAUGUUAGCGGCGGACGGGUGAGUAACACGUGGAUAACCUACCUAUAAGACUGGGAUAACUUCGGGAAACCGGAUCUAAUACCGGAUAAUAUUUUGAACCGCAUGGUUCAAAAGUGAAAGACGGUCUUUCUGUCACUUAUAGAUGGAUCCGCGCUGCAUUAGCUAGUUGGUAAGGUAACGGCUUACCAAGGCAACGAUGCAUAGCCGACCUGAGAGGGUGAUCGGCCACACUGGAACUAAGACACGGUCCAGACUCCUACGGGAGGCAGCAGUAGGGAAUCUUCCGCAAUGGGCGAAAGCCUGACGGAGCAACGCCGCGUGAGUGAUGAAGGUCUUCGGAUCGUAAAACUCUGUUAUUAGGGAAGAACAUAUGUGUAAGUAACUGUGCACAUCUUGACGGUACCUAAUCAGAAAGCCACGGCUAACUACGUG
rnacentral:rRNA from 1 species